UGUGGGAGCGGGCUUGCCCGCGAUAGCGAGGUGUCAGUCGACAUUAAUCCGGUGAUGACGCCAUCGCGGGCAAGCCCGCUCCCACA
rnacentral:misc_RNA from 1 species